rnacentral:rRNA from 1 species
AGGGUUUGAUCAUGGCUCAGGAUGAACGCUGGCGGCGUGCUUAACACAUGCAAGUCGAACGAACCUUCGGGUUAGUGGCGGACGGGUGAGUAACGCGUGAGAAUCUGCCCUCAGGAGGGGGAUAACGGUUGGAAACGACCGCUAAUACCCCAUAUGCCGAUAGGUGAAAUGAAUUUCGCCUGAGGAUGAGCUCGCGUCUGAUUAGCUUGUUGGUAAGGUAAUGGCUUACCAAGGCUUCGAUCAGUAGCUGGUCUGAGAGGAUGAUCAGCCACACUGGGACUGAGACACGGCCCAGACUCCUACGGGAGGCAGCAGUGGGGAAUUUUCCGCAAUGGGCGAAAGCCUGACGGAGCAACGCCGCGUGAGGGACGAAGGCCUCUGGGCUGUAAACCUCUUUUCUCAAGGAAGAAGAUAUGACGGUACUUGAGGAAUAAGCCACGGCUAAUUCCGUGCCAGCAGCCGCGGUAAUACGGGAGUGGCAAGCGUUAUCCGGAAUUAUUGGGCGUAAAGCGUCCGCAGGCGGCUUGUCAAGUCUGCUGUUAAAACGUGGAGCUUAACUCCAUCAUGGCAGUGGAAACUGACAGGCUUGAGUAUGGUAGGGGCAGAGGGAAUUCCCGGUGUAGCGGUGAAAUGCGUAGAUAUCGGGAAGAACACCAGUGGCGAAGGCGCUCUGCUGGGCCAUUACUGACGCUCAUGGACGAAAGCCAGGGGAGCGAAAGGGAUUAGAUACCCCUGUAGUCCUGGCCGUAAACGAUGAACACUAGGUGUCGGGGGAAUCGACCCCUUCGGUGUCGUAGCUAACGCGUUAAGUGUUCCGCCUGGGGAGUACGCACGCAAGUGUGAAACUCAAAGGAAUUGACGGGGGCCCGCACAAGCGGUGGAGUAUGUGGUUUAAUUCGAUGCAACGCGAAGAACCUUACCAGGGUUUGACAUCCUGCGAACCUCUUAGAAAUUUGAGGGUGCCUUCGGGAAUGCAGUGACAGGUGGUGCAUGGCUGUCGUCAGCUCGUGUCGUGAGAUGUUGGGUUAAGUCCCGCAACGAGCGCAACCCACGUUUUUAGUUGCCAGCAUUUAGUUGGGCACUCUAGAAAGACCGCCGGUGAUAAACCGGAGGAAGGUGUGGAUGACGUCAAGUCAUCAUGCCCCUUACACCCUGGGCUACACACGUACUACAAUGCUACGGACAAAGGGCAGCAAACUCGCGAGAGCUAGCAAAUCCCAUAAACCGUGGCUCAGUUCAGAUCGUAGGCUGCAACUCGCCUACGUGAAGUAGGAAUCGCUAGUAAUCGCAGGUCAGCAUACUGCGGUGAAUACGUUCCCGGGCCUUGUACACACCGCCCGUCACACCAUGGAAGUUGGCCAUGCCCGAAGUCGUUACUCCAACCCUUGUGGAGGAGGACGCCGAAGGUGGGGCUAAUGACUGGGGUGAAGUCGUAACAAGGUAACCG